GACGAACGCUCUUGGCGUGCUUAACACAUGCAAGUCGAACGGAAAGGCCCUGCUUUUGUGGGGUGCUCGAGUGGCGAACGGGUGAGUAACACGUGAGUAACCUGCCCUUGACUUUGGGAUAACUUCAGGAAACUGGGGCUAAUACCGGAUAGGAGCUCCUGCUGCAUGGUGGGGGUUGGAAAGUUUCGGCGGUUGGGGAUGGACUCGCGGCUUAUCAGCUUGUUGGUGGGGUAGUGGCUUACCAAGGCUUUGACGGGUAGCCGGCCUGAGAGGGUGACCGGCCACAUUGGGACUGAGAUACGGCCCAGACUCCUACGGGAGGCAGCAGUGGGGAAUAUUGCACAAUGGGCGGAAGCCUGAUGCAGCAACGCCGCGUGCGGGAUGACGGCCUUCGGGUUGUAAACCGCUUUCGCCUGUGACGAAGCGUGAGUGACGGUAAUGGGUAAAGAAGCACCGGCUAACUACGUGCCAGCAGCCGCGGUGAUACGUAGGGUGCGAGCGUUGUCCGGAUUUAUUGGGCGUAAAGGGCUCGUAGGUGGUUGAUCGCGUCGGAAGUGUAAUCUUGGGGCUUAACCCUGAGCGUGCUUUCGAUACGGGUUGACUUGAGGAAGGUAGGGGAGAAUGGAAUUCCUGGUGGAGCGGUGGAAUGCGCAGAUAUCAGGAGGAACACCAGUGGCGAAGGCGGUUCUCUGGGCCUUUCCUGACGCUGAGGAGCGAAAGCGUGGGGAGCGAACAGGCUUAGAUACCCUGGUAGUCCACGCUGUAAACGGUGGGUACUAGGUGUGGGGUCCAUUCCACGGGUUCCGUGCCGUAGCUAACGCUUUAAGUACCCCGCCUGGGGAGUACGGCCGCAAGGCUAAAACUCAAAGGAAUUGACGGGGCCCCGCACAAGCGGCGGAGCAUGCGGAUUAAUUCGAUGCAACGCGUAGAACCUUACCUGGGUUUGACAUGGAUCGGGAGUGCUCAGAGAUGGGUGUGCCUCUUUUGGGGUCGGUUCACAGGUGGUGCAUGGCUGUCGUCAGCUCGUGUCGUGAGAUGUUGGGUUAAGUCCCGCAACGAGCGCAACCCUUGUUCACUGUUGCCAGCACGUUAUGGUGGGGACUCAGUGGAGACCGCCGGGGUCAACUCGGAGGAAGGUGGGGAUGACGUCAAGUCAUCAUGCCCCUUAUGUCCAGGGCUUCACGCAUGCUACAAUGGCUGGUACAGAGAGUGGCGAGCCUGUGAGGGUGAGCGAAUCUCGGAAAGCCGGUCUCAGUUCGGGUUGGGGUCUGCAACUCGACCUCAUGAAGUCGGAGUCGCUAGUAAUCGCAGAUCAGCAACGCUGCGGUGAAUACGUUCCCGGG
rnacentral:rRNA from 1 species